UACGGAGGGUGCAAGCGUUGCUCGGAAUUAUUGGGCGUAAAGGGCAGGUAGGUGGUCUUAUUUGUCUGAUGUGAAAGCCUUGGGCUUAACCUAAGAAGUGCGUCAGAAACGGUAAGACUUAGAGUCCUAGAGAGGGUUGUGGAAUUCCCGGUGUAGCGGUGAAAUGCGUAGAGAUCGGGAGGAACACCAGUGGCGAAGGCGGCAACCUGGAUAGGCACUGACACUCAACUGCGAAAGCGUGGGGAGCAAACAGG
rnacentral:rRNA from 1 species